rnacentral:rRNA from 1 species
CCAAUAGCGUAUAUUAAAGUUGUUGCAGUUAAAAAGCUCGUAGUUGAAUUUCGGGGUCAGUAGAUUGGUCGUGCCAAUGGUAUGUACUGGUCUUACUGGCUCCUCCUUCCCGAUGAACCGUAAUGCCAUUAAUUUGGUGUUUCGGGGAGACUGGACUGUUACUUUGAAAAAAUUAGAGGGUUUAAAGCAGGCUAGCGCUUGAAUACAUUAGCAUGGAAUAAUGAAAUAGGACGUUCGAUCUUAUUUUGUUGGUUUCUAAGAUUGACGUAAUGAUUAAUAGGGAUAGUUGGGGGCAUUAGUAUUCAAUUGUCAGAGGUGAAAUUCUUGGAUUUAUUGAAGACUAACUACUGCGAAAGCAUUUGCCAAGGAUGUUUUCAUUAAUCAAGAACGAAAGUUAGGGGAUCGAAGACGAUCAGAUACCGUCGUAGUCUUAACCAUAAACUAUGCCGACUAGGGAUCGGAUGAUGUUAAUUUUUUAAUGACUCAUUCGGCGCCUUACG